rnacentral:rRNA from 1 species
GGAUGGACUCGCGGCCUAUCAGCUUGUUGGUGGGGUAAUGGCCUACCAAGGCGACGACGGGUAGCCGGCCUGAGAGGGUGACCGGCCACACUGGGACUGAGACACGGCCCAGACUCCUACGGGAGGCAGCAGUGGGGAAUAUUGCACAAUGGGCGGAAGCCUGAUGCAGCGACGCCGCGUGAGGGAUGACGGCCUUCGGGUUGUAAACCUCUUUCAGUAGGGAAGAAGCGAAAGUGACGGUACCUGCAGAAGAAGCGCCGGCUAACUACGUGCCAGCAGCCGCGGUAAUACGUAGGGCGCAAGCGUUAUCCGGAAUUAUUGGGCGUAAAGAGCUCGUAGGCGGUUUGUCGCGUCUGCUGUGAAAGACCGGGGCUCAACUCCGGUUCUGCAGUGGGUACGGGCAGACUAGAGUGCAGUAGGGGAGACUGGAAUUCCUGGUGUAGCGGUGAAAUGCGCAGAUAUCAGGAGGAACACCGAUGGCGAAGGCAGGUCUCUGGGCUGUAACUGACGCUGAGGAGCGAAAGCAUGGGGAGCGAACAGGAUUAGAUACCCUGGUAGUCCAUGCCGUAAACGUUGGGCACUAGGUGUGGGGGACCAUUCCACGUUUUCCGCGCCCGUAGCUAAACGCCAUUAAGUGCCCCGCCUGGGGAGUACGGCCGCAAGGCUAAAACUCAAAGGAAUUGACGGGGGCCCGCACAAGCGGCGGAGCAUGCGGAUUAAUUCGAUGCAACGCGAAGAACCUUACCAAGGCUUGACAUGAACCGGAAAGACCUGGAAACAGGUGCCCCGCUUGCGGUCGGUUUACAGGUGGUGCAUGGUUGUCGUCAGCUCGUGUCGUGAGAUGUUGGGUUAAGUCCCGCAACGAGCGCAACCCUCGUUCUAUGUUGCCAGCGCGUUAUGGCGGGGACUCAUAGGAGACUGCCGGGGUCAACUCGGAGGAAGGUGGGGACGACGUCAAAUCAUCAUGCCCCUUAUGUCUUGGGCUUCACGCAUGCUACAAUGGCCGGUACAAAGGGUUGCGAUACUGUGAGGUGGAGCUAAUCCCAAAAAGCCGGUCUCAGUUCGGAUUGGGGUCUGCAACUCGACCCCAUGAAGUCGGAGUCGCUAGUAAUCGCAGAUCAGCAACGCUGCGGUGAAU